rnacentral:snoRNA from 1 species
CCUGCCCUGGGAAGCCUUGCAGGCGUGGCUGCUGUGUGACAUGAGUGUCAGUAGGUGUCAGAGAAGUGAGAGGCUAUGUCUAAGCUCAGUGCUCUGACCUGUGGCAUCUGAAU